GCAAGAUACCACGGGCGCACGGCGGAUGCCUUGGCACAGGGAGCCGAUGAAGGACGCGGCAAGCUGCGAUAAUCCCCGGCGAGGAGCACACAUCCUUCGACCCGGGGGUCUCCGAAUGGGCGAACCCAUGCACAGCAGUGUGCAUAUCCCCCCGCUGAACGCAUAGGCGGGGGGAGGACAACCCGGGGAACUGAAACAUCUAAGUACCCGGAGGAGAGGAAAUCAAUCUCGAGACUCCCCGAGUAGCGGCGAGCGAAAGGGGACCGAUGGCCAAACCGUCGAGCGGGCAUACCCGGCAGGGGUUCCGCCGACGGGGUUGCAGGGCCGCGCAUCCGGGGGCUGCCGCCCCCGGGCGCAGGUCCGGCUGGGGAGCGGAACGGCAUGGGAGGGCCGGCCGCAGCGGGUGACAGCCCCGUACGCGAACCCAGACCGGACGGCGCGACGCGGUCCCUGAGUAGGGCCGGGCACGUGAAACCCGGUCCGAACCUGGGUGGACCACCAUCCAAGCCUGAGUACUACCCUGUGACCGAUAGCGCACCAGUACCGUGAGGGAAAGGUGAAAAGCACCCCGGGAGGGGAGUGAAACAGUACCUGAAACCGUGCGCCCACGAGCAGUCGGAGCAACUUUCAGUUGUGACGGCGUGCCUUUUGUAGAAUGAGCCAGCGAGUCGCUGGCGCGGGGCGAGGUUAACCGAAAGGGAGCCGGAGCGAAAGCGAGCCUUAACAGGGCGACUUGAGUCCCGCGCCGCGGACGCGAAGCCGGGUGAGCUAUCCGUGGGCAGGCUGAAGCGGGGGUAAGACCCCGUGGAGGGCCGAACGCACGUCGGUUGAAAACGGCGGCGAUGACCUGCGGAUAGGGGUGAAAGGCCAAUCAAACCCGGAGAUAUCUCGUUCUCCCCGAAAUAGCUUUAGGGCUAGCGUCGCGCGUUCACCGCCGGAGGUAGAGCACCGGAUGGACGAGGGGGCUUCGCCGCCUACCGAAUCCAACCGAACUCCGAAUGCCGGCGGCCCAGAGCGCGGCAGUCAGAGCAUGUGGGCUAAGCUGUGUGCUCGAGAGGGAAACAGCCCGGACCGCCCGCUAAGGUCCCCAAGUUCCAGCCGAGUGGCAAAGGAUGUGCGUCCGCCCAGACAACCAGGAUGUUGGCUUAGAAGCAGCCAUCCAUUCAAAGAGUGCGUAACAGCUCACUGGUCGAGUGGACAUGCGCCGACAAUACACGGGGCUAAGCUGGACACCGAAGCGGCGGGAUUUUAAUUCAUUAGAAUCGGUAGGGGAGCUUCCCAUGGGCGGAGAAGCCGGAGGGCGACCGACGGUGGAGCGCAUGGGAGUGAGAAUGCUGGCAUGAGUAGCGAGAGACGAGAGAGUAACUCGUCCGCCGUGAACCCGAGGUUUCCUGGGCAAGGCUAAUCCUCCCAGGGUCAGUCGGGGGCUAAGGCGAGGCCGGGAGGCGUAGCCGACGCGCAGCAGGCAGACAUUCCUGCACCGCGCACGCGGCGCUACGACCGACGGGGCGACGGAUGGGGGUGGCUCGGCGGGGUUCUGGACGUCCCCGUGAUGGAGCGCGGCCCGCGGACCAGGGAAAUCCGGUCCGCAUCAAGGGCGAGGCUCCGGACGAAGCGAUUGAGCGAAGCGAGUGAGCCCGAGGUCCCUAGAAAAACCCCUAGGCAGGCGCGUGCGCGCCCGUACCGCAAACCGACACAGGUGGGUGGGUAGAACAUACCGAGGCGAUCGGGUCAACCAUGGUCAAGGAACUCGGCACAAUGGCCCCGUAACUUCGGGAGAAGGGGUGCCCGCGCGUACGUGAACCGGCUUGCCCGGGGAGCGGAGGCGGGCCGCAGUGGAGAGGCCCAAGCGACUGUUUACCAAAAACACAGGACUCUGCAGAAGCCGCAAGGCGACGUAUAGGGUCUGACGCCUGCCCGGUGCCGGAAGGUCACGCGGAGGAGUUAGCCGAUUCGGCGAAGCCCCGAAGCCAAGCCCCGGUAAACGGCGGCCGUAACUAUAACGGUCCUAAGGUAGCGAAAUUCCUUGUCGGGU
rnacentral:rRNA from 1 species